rnacentral:rRNA from 1 species
GACGAACGCUGGCGGCGUGCUUAACACAUGCCAGUCGAACGGAAAGGCCCUGCUUUUGUGGGGUGCUCGAUUGGCGAACGGGUGAGUAACACGUGAGUAACCUGCCCUUGACUUUGGGAUAACUUCAGGAAACUGGGGCUAAUACCGGAUAGGAGCUCCUGCUGCAUGGUGGGGGUUGGAAAGUUUCGGCGGUUGGGGAUGGACUCGCGGCUGAUCAGCUUGUUGGUGGGGUAGUGGCUGACCAAGGCUUUGACGGGUAGCCGGCCUGGGAGGGUGACCGGCCACAUUGGGACUGAGAUACGGCCCAGACUCCUACGGGAGGCAGCAGUGGGGAAUAUUGCACAAUGGGCGGAAGCCUGAUGCAGCAACGCCGCGUGCGGGAUGACGGCCUUCGGGUUGUAAACCGCUUUCGCCUGUGACGAAGCGUGAGUGACGGUAAUGGGUAAAGAAGCACCGGCUAACUACGUG